rnacentral:rRNA from 1 species
GCGCGGAUCAGGAGCUUGCUCCUGUGACGCGAGUGGCGGACGGGUGAGUAACACGUAGGCAACCUGCCCAUCAGACCGGGAUAACCACGGGAAACCGUGACUAAUACCGGAUAAUCCUUUCCCUCACAGGAGGGAAAGUUGAAAGGCGGCCUUUUGACUGCCGCUGAUGGAUGGGCCUGCGGCGCAUUAGCUAGUUGGUGGGGUAAGGGCCCACCAAGGCGACGAUGCGUAGCCGACCUGAGAGGGUGAUCGGCCACACUGGGACUGAGACACGGCCCAGACUCCUACGGGAGGCAGCAGUAGGGAAUCUUCCGCAAUGGACGAAAGUCUGACGGAGCAACGCCGCGUGAGUGAAGAAGGGUUUCGGCUCGUAAAACUCUGUUGUCAGGGAAGAACGUCCCCGUGAGUAACUGCACGGGGAGUGACGGUACCUGACCAGAAAGCCACGGCUAACUACGUGCCAGCAGCCGCGGUAAUACGUAGGUGGCAAGCGUUAUCCGGAAUUAUUGGGCGUAAAGCGCGCGUAGGCGGUCUGUUAAGUCUGAUGUGAAAGCCCCCGGCUCAACCGGGGAGGGUCAUUGGAAACUGGCAGACUUGAGUGCAGAAGAGGAGAGUGGAAUUCCAUGUGUAGCGGUGAAAUGCGCAGAGAUAUGGAGGAACACCAGUGGCGAAGGCGGCUCUCUGGUCUGUAACUGACGCUGAGGUGCGAAAGCGUGGGGAUCAAACAGGAUUAGAUACCCUGGUAGUCCACGCCGUAAACGAUGAGUGCUAAGUGUUAGGGGUUUCCGCCCCUUAGUGCUGCAGCUAACGCAUUAAGCACUCCGCCUGGGGAGUACGCCGCAAGUUGAAACUCAAAG